UGGCCAAGUCCUCAGGGCCUCUAGGUACCUCAUUAGCAUGGAGAACUCUGCUCUGGGCCCACAAGACUACAGGCCAGGUUUCCUUAUGUGGGGAAUGUGGCACAUGUUCCAGGCCAGGAAUCUGUCACCUAAGUCUCAGGUGUGUGCCCACCAACUCUCUGGGUCUCAAACUGCUCCACCUUAGCAAACUUUCUGGUGUUGUUUUACCAUCCCACAUUCCACUAGCCACCGCACUAGCAAAUUCUGGAUUUCCAAACAAAUGAGAAAACAUUUGGUAAAUGGCUCCUGAGAAACAACAACCAAUGCUGUUCUAUAACCAAUUGUCACACACACACACACACAGACACACACACACAUACACACAUACCAUACUUUUCUCUUUUUUUAUGAGCAACGGUUUUACCAAGGUUAUCUCUCAGGAGACUUUAUAACCAUUCCUUUGAUUAAUUAAUAUUCAUUUAACAACAGAGAAAUCAAUAUUUGGAUUCCAUAGUUCCCAUUUUAUAACUGGAUCUUGUAUUUUAAUUAGGAAUAUUGAUGAUGCCCAAUAUAAACGUAACAUAUUUCCAUAUUUCCUUUCUUACUUUGUAUUUAAGAUAUGUGAUAAUGCAUGUGUGUAUGAGAGACCCCAUAUCUUGAUGUGCACUUGUCCAUUCUUUCACAAAGAUAGUUUAAAGUAGUAAAAGUGUGGCCAAGUACUUUUAUGGUUAAGAAAUAAGGGGAGCAUUAGGACAAGUUUUAGUGACAGAGCACUAGGCCACACUCACUGCUGUCACCCACCUUGCACUGUCCUCAUGUGCGUUUUGCUGAACGAGCAAUCCCUUUCUCCCAGGAUGGUAGCAUUUUCGUCUUUUUACACCAUCUUCUUAUAACAGAGGAUGUAGUUCACUUCUGCCUUGUUUGCCUACUCUCUCAAAAUAUGACAAUGUGACAGCUGAGUGGGAAAGGAGCUGAAGGGUUGGUCAAAAGCUACCAAGGGUCUCAGCCAGAGUGUCUUCCUUCAACCCACCAUUGUGAGUCACGGUUCCUCCUGACUUUAAGUCAGUGACCUUCAGGAGGAUUUUAGGUAACUUUCAAGGCUAGGUGAUAUGACAAGGGAUAGCAUCUUCCUGACUCUUCCAAAACUCCUUUGACCUAGUACGAUGCUGUAAGGAAUCUAAGUGAGCACAUGGAGAGGUCAUCCAUGACUGUUUAGCAGAUAGCUCCAGCUGAGGUCCACGUUAAUGGCAGUCAGCCAGCAUCAGCUGCUGACCUGAGAGUAACACAGGCUGCUCUUGCCCUCUAGGUUUAGACCUUCUCCAGUGACCUGAUGGAGCUGACAGACAAAUUGCAGACUAAUGAGCUAAUACUAAUACCUCUUGUGAUUUUAAGAUAAUUGACCUACUGGUCACUGCACAAAGCUUCCUGCAAGUGCUACAUGGUCCCACUGCACAGAAGUCCCACUCAGUCCUUUCCACCAUAUAAUAAUUAGGUACUGUGUUAUGACCAAUCAGCCUUUCCUGCCUGUAAAUCCCCCACCCCACCCCACAAAAAAACCUCUGAGGAAAGUCACACAGCCUAUGGCCAGAUUACAGCUUCAGCUUCCUCUUGCCUGAUAAGAACUUGCCAGUUGGUUCUCGGAAUUCCUCUUCAUGUAAGUGAAUUGUCCCAGCCCUAGCCAAUAAUGGAGACCUACCCUGAAAAUCCCUACCCACUCCCCAAGAUCUACCUUGUUCACUCCAAUACAGUUGAUUUGUCUCACUGAAGCUGUUUCUGGAGGUACUCAUGGCUAAACUCUGCCCCCCUAAAGGCUGGAUAAUAUUCCAGUAUGCAGACACAUUACAUCACAAACUUUUCCAUUUGGGUGUAAGUCCAACUCAUUCAUUCAUUCAUUUAAGCAGGGCCCCAAAAAGUAGACUAGGCUUGUCUCGAACUGGUAGUGGGCCUCCUGCCUUUGCCUCUUAUGUGUUUGAAGAGAACUGUCAUGUGCCACAACGGCUGUCUCUUACUUUUUCACUCCACUGCCUCAUCCUUUUGUUGCCAUAUUUAAGAAAUUACAGACAAAUGUUAAGUCAAGGAGACUUGUGCCUGCAUAUUCUAAGUUUUAUCUCCAUCUUGAGUUUUAUUGCAUACGUUGGUAUAUGAUAAGAGGAAAGGGUCCAGCUUCACUCUUUUGCCUAUGAGAAAUUUAGCCUUCUGAGCCCCAUUGUUCAUGGUGUUGGACAUCCAUGGAAAGGAUGACUUCCUGACUGUAGAUUAUUCCAUAGCAUGCUAUUAAUUAUUCCUCAUCCUCCCGUAGUGCUGGAGAAAUGCGUAUCAUUUACUCCUUGCCCAGACCUUCCUUUAGAGAACCCGUCCACCUCACAGCUCCAGAUAGGCAAUCUCAUGACUCUUGGAUGUGGUUGACUGACUACUUCAUGGAGACAUACUCAGCCAAAGCUGACUUAUCAGGCUUUACUCUGGAUAUGUGUUACCCACAAAGAUCCAUUAUGAAUUCAGUUAGCUCUCAAGGAUUGCACUGUAGGAGAUAGUUUGGUGUAGGGUCUGGUGGAAGAUCUUUAGGUCACUGGGGAAAUAACCCAAGUGUAGGAUCUUUUCCUCAAGAGACCCAUUGAUGUAUAGACAGAGUAGAUAUAAAAGCCUGAGUUUGGCUUCACCCAAGUUCCCUCUCCGUUCCCUCUCCAUCCUCCUCUCCCUUCCUCUUCUUUUCUCCUUCCCUGUCUCAUUGCUGCUGCUUCCUUAAACAAGAUAGAUCAUUCCUCUCCCCACAGGUCACACUUUGACAUUCACCAUGAAGCCCUCAGUCAGAAUUCAUUAUUGGUGACUUUUGUCUUCUAUAAUAUCAAAUGUACUUUGCAAACAACACCAUACCAAAUGACUAUGCUAAUGAGAAAACAAACAAAAUGUAAACAAAUAUUCUCAGGGUUUGGUUCUUAUGGGUGGAUUGAUGUCUAUGUGCAGAUGAGGGCAGGCACAAGAUAAGGCAAGGCCUGUGAUUGGGCAGUGAAAAAGUAAGGAGGGCACAAAGAUUUGAAGAGAGGAGAGCGAGAAAGGAGAAGAACCAAGAUGGAGGAGGAGAAGGACAAGCCAGGUCUGUGUGGCCUUAAAGGGCCACAGGUAGCAAGUUGGGUUGAGAUGCUUUGUUGAUUAAGAUGCCGUGUGACCUGCUGGAGCCGGCACUGGUGUGGGUUGAGAGAUUUUUUUUUUAAUAUUUACCGCUACACUUAUGCUAAGUAUCUAGUCAGGAAUCUUAUAAAAACUGCAGAAAUUAUAUUUGAAUUUAACAGUCAUAACACAGUUCUUUAACUGUUGUUUAAAUAGUCUUUAAGUGUUACCAUUGAUUUAGAAUUGGCUUAGUAAUGAGGCAUAUAAGCCUCAAAUAAGUAUAAUUUAAAUCUAAGUGUAAUUUUCUCUCAAGAAGGCCAGGUCUCUACCCAGAACCUCUGUGUCCCGUGCCAUGGUGACAGGCAUCUGGUGCUGCUCUCCUACAACACAGCUCAGGGGCAAAAUUCUAAGAUCUCCUCAGCAUUCCUAUCAACUGGAGAGUCUAAGAAUGCACUUAAAGACACUUAUCCCAACUUGCUUCUAGUACUUCUGUUUAUAUCUUAUUGGGCAGAACCAAAUCAGAUAGGAUUCUGGGAAAUGUAGUUUCUACUGGAGGCAGCCAUGUCCCUGUCUAGAAUCUGAGAGUUUUGUUGCUAAGGUUGGUUGAGAUAACAGGUAGUAGAGACAAAUCGGAUUUGGUCAUACUUUGAGAUAAAAUGUGAACUCACUGUCAAUGAAGUCUUGACCAACCAGAUAUAGCUUGCUCUCCUGCUUCCUAAAGGGGUUUGAUGUUGCUUCUAACCUUUGUUUUGUUUACCUUUUCUCUCAGGUGGAGGACUCCAUCCCACCUUUGCACAUGCACUUACUGCUGGGAUUAAGGAACCCUGCAGUAGAUGCUCUGUCACCAUGAAUAUCUUCAUAUCUAAUAUCUAAUAUCGCUAAUACUUCUGCUUUGUAGCAACUAUGACCAUUGAAAGUGCAAGUUAUUUACCUUCUGGUUCACUUUGUUCUGCUUCAUCUUUAUCUUUAAGCCUCUAAGUCCUAUGAAUCAGGGGCUUGGUUUGGCUCAUGCCUGUAUUCCCAGCAUUAUACUAAUUAGUUUCUUAUUAAGUUGUCCCUACUCCAUGGGAAAACUCACGGUUUAUUUGAUUAAACAAAACUAAAAUGAUCUGCCUAGAAAUAAUUUUAAAGUCUCCCAUAGCUGAUCCAGCAACUCCUCUAUUCUUCUCCAGCCUCUGUGGACCACAGCAAUGUAUUCAGAAGCUCGUGACCUCACAUAAUAGGUUUCAGACAAUUCCUUACAGCUCCUUCAUCUGUUCACCGUCUGCCAUGCAACCCCCAAUGUUAUUAUUUAAGUUUUAAAGGAAAAAGAAAAACCAAAGGAAAACAAUGACAGGAUAUGGGGAUUUGUAAUUGAAAAAAAGUUCAAAAAAGUCUUAUGGAAUCAACUAAUGAGCUUUCAGAUAGAACGACUUCAUGGAAUGACACAGUCUAGUUUUCUCAAUGUCACUGAAUGAAAGUUUCACUUCACAUUCAAAGUCUUCCUCAAAUGCCCUGGUUUCGUCCCCUGCCUUGGUAGGGACAGCAUGCCCCCUGAGCAUUUGCCCUGUCCUGGGCAGCCAGAGGCUUGCCGUGGCCGAGGACCAGUGUACUAUCUGCCAGUCUAUGCUGACCCAGCCAACAAAAACUGAGGAAGAGGGCACCUCAUGGAAGCUGUUGUACUCUGGGUGGUGCUGUGUUCCAAAAUCUGCUUUAGACACAUGUGUGCAGCAGAAACCUUGUUUUUACCCCUAAAGUGGCAUGUCAAAAAAAAAAAAUCAGGUACUUCUGCUUCUGAAUUGGCAGAGGAUUUAUUUUAUGCAUAAUUUUCCAUGUUUCUUGGGAAGAAAAGAAUGCACCUCUUUUAUAAGUGCUUCAUUCCUUUCCACCAAUGUGAGCCAUCUUGAGAUCUCUGCAGGAUAGAAACCAAACCAAAUGGGCACCGUGGGUUGCCCAGGGGCAGGGCAUGGGAGUGGGGUCAGAAGAAUAGAAAUCUGUCUGUCAAUCCUCUCCCCCUCUCCCCUUUUCACCCACAAAGGCAAAAGACUCUUUCAUUAGGGGCUCCACAGAUCCAAUCCAUCCCUGCUAGGUGAGCCUUUCCUAGAAACAAGCACAAAAGGGAUCUAGCAGCAAAGCAAGCACUGAGGGAGUGAGAUGGGCUACCAAGAGAGGAGAGGAAAAAAAUCAAUAAUGAAAAGGAGCAUUUCAGUAUAAUUUAAUCUUCUGUUUCAAUAAAGGCAUUUAUUACCAUAUAAAUGUAGCAAAGAGCCUGGGAUAAUAUGAAAAAUGAGUUUUAUUAGAUAAUUAUGAUACAAAAAUUAUAUUCAAUGAGAAAGUGACCCAAAAAAAACUUUAGAAAGUUUACUAUGUAGGUAGGGAGAGAAGAAAAUACAUUUCUAUUCAGAUUCAAAUUUUAAUUUUUUAAUAUAUGUUUGGGUUUAAGCUCUUUUUGCCCCCCACAUUUUCGGGGGAGAAAUAUCAUUUGAUUUUCUUAUGGGAGUAUUCUGGAUGGAGAGUAGAGAGGGGAUGGGAGGUGGUCCCUCCUAGGGCCCCAACAAUAGAUUUGCUUUCACUCUGUGGGAUCCCCUUCCCCCUUUCUGAACCCAACCCCCAGGAGAGUAAGCAGAGCCAAACAAAGGAAGGGAUUAAACAGAAAAGAAGUGUGGGACUAAAAACUGAGGGUCUUAGAGUUUCCUUCUUUCCCCUUCUCUGAGCAAUUGGCAGUUAGUAGGGAAAAGUCAGGUCUAACAGGCCUGGAGAAACCCUCAGAGGUGUGAGAUGUAAAGAAAUAGAUUUUUUUAACCAUUUUUUCUGUGGAUGAGAGGAUAAACUGAGGGAUUUAAAAGAAGAGAAUACUACAAAAUAAUUGAAAUUUAUUUCAUAUAAUCCUAGAGAAAGAAAAAGAAUUACUAGUUACUUAGUAGAGGAUAGUCAGAGAGCUUAAAGUUUAGUAGCAUUAUGGGCCCCUGAGCGAAGUAGAAUGGAGAAAAGUAUGGGGGAAUAAAAGAAUAGAGGCCAGUGGCUAAGCUGCCCUAACCCUGAGGACAGGGCUAGGGCAGGCUGUUAACUAGGGUUGGGAGCUUCCAGUCUGCUGGGGUUGAUUCUGAGAAUCCUUAGGUUUAAGUACAGGACAAGUACAUGAGAGCUCUGUCCCAGGGCAUUUGCAAGGGUCAUCUGAAUCUCGGUGAUUCAGGACCGAGAGCUUGACCAUCUAAAAGGAAACCUCUAUUCAUACUGUCCAAGACACCGAAGACAGCCUCUCCCAGGUUACCCUGACAAAGUCCUUGAAGUCACCUUGGUUCACCUUGCUACAAGGUUCAAGAGCCAGGUACUCAGAUACUCUGCCUUUAUCUCCACAAGAGGUUUCUCACUUUGGAACAUGGAGUUCCCAAGUCAGGUUUUCUCUGUGUAGCCCUGACUAUCCUGGAAUUCCCUCAGUACACCAGGCUGGCAAGUAACUCAUGGAUCCACCUGCCUAUGUUGCUGGAAGUAAAGGUGUGCACCUCCACCACAAGGCUUCCUCAAGGCAUUUGUAAUCAUUCAACUACCAAAUGUGGAGAGUCUAGUGACCAUCCCCAGGCACCAGGCACAGGGAUAGCAGCUAAUGGGAAGCAGGCCCAGUAGCCCAAGCGAACAAAGUUCAGAGGGGCAGGAGGAAUACAUGUAGACACUCUACACAGCAGGGUGAUGUGAUGGGCCCCUGAGCCCUGUAGAAUGGAGAAAAGUAUGGGGGAAUAAAAGAGUAGAGGCCAGUGGCUAAGCUGCUCUAACCCUGAGGAUACCAUAGCAAUCUCUCCUAAGGUAUUCAGAGCAAAGGAUUCCUUGGCCCCUAGCACCUAAAAUAGACAGCAUGGACAGCCAUAACCCCGUGGGUGUGAGGGACGUGGGAAGGGAAUCAGCCAUGUUUGGAUUCUUUUCAGAGUUAAAUCCUAAUGGCUCCAUAUUCUGUGUGCAGGCCCUAGCCUAUUGACCUCCACAGUUGAACAGUGAAGAGGCAGGAAGGACUGAGGCUGCAGUUGACCUGGCCCAUGGUGAAGUCCUGCACUGGAUAACAGUCACUGAGAAUACCUUGGGAAGGAAUAUGAAGGUGUCCUGAGGAGGCAGAUCUAGGAGUGCACUUUUCCUUUCUAGAAGGCUGUCAACAAAACUGAAACAGGACUCUGGAGACAUUCCUGUCUCCUAUGAUUUAGAUGAUGGAAACUAAGUGUACCAAAUAAUGAAGCUUCACUAAGAGCCUGGACAGAAGGUAGCUUCUGUACCAGGUGUCACUAAACCAGUCACAGAAUGCAGGGGAAACAACAUCAGGCCUUUGGCAUCAGGCUCUAGAGAGUACUGCUGUAAGGUCUAGUGAAAGAAUGCUGACAUAGGUGAACUGUCCUACCGUCCAGAAA
rnacentral:sRNA from 1 species